rnacentral:rRNA from 1 species
CGUCGACCGGCGCACGGGUGAGUAACGCGUAUCCAACCUUCCCAUUACUGUGGGAUAACCUGCCGAAAGGCAGACUAAUACCGCAUAGUCUUCGAUGACGGCAUCAGAUUUGAAGUAAAGAUUUAUCGGUAAUGGAUGGGGAUGCGUCUGAUUAGCUUGUUGGCGGGGUAACGGCCCACCAAGGCGACGAUCAGUAGGGGUUCUGAGAGGAAGGUCCCCCACAUUGGAACUGAGACACGGUCCAAACUCCUACGGGAGGCAGCAGGC